rnacentral:lncRNA from 1 species
AAGAAGUCAGGCCACUACAAGUGCCAUAACUUGAGCAAAUUAUGCAGCCUGUAGCUCCACCUGGGAAGGUGUAAAAAAUCUGGGAGGCCACAAACCAUGGAAGCUGUACGCAUGGCGUAGUGGACUAGCGGUUAGAGGAGACCCCUCCCUUGCAAAUCGCAGCAACAAUGGGGGCCCAAGGUGAGAUGAAGCUGUAGUCUCACUGGAAGGACUAGAGGUUAGAGGAGACCCCCCCGAAACAAAAAACAGCAUAUUGACGC